UGUGCUUCGGAUAAGAAUUAGGCGUUUGUAUUCUUGUAGGCUUUAUGUCAAGCAUGUGGUGGGUGCUUCUACUUUCGGGGGUGGGGGGGGGAAGAAACCAUCCUGUAUAGGGGACUGGAUUCUGAUGAGCUCAUGUUAGACUAAACCUCUUUCUGCUUUGCAAACAUGUCUCUGUAUUCGUUAUCACUGCAUGCAGUUCUUGAAUUGAGAUUCACCUCCUUGCUUAUGAACAUUCACCUGUUCAUUGGAUUUGGGCAGAACACUUUUGUUUUUUUUAAUCAGAGUACCCCUGGCAUGCUCUUUUCAUCCAUUCGUCGUCGAAUUCCAACAUAUCAACUUUGUUUGUGGCAUGUAUUUUUGGUGAGGAAAGCAUCUCAUGCUAGGUGUUGAGUGAUUAAUCAUAUGCCAACCAAGAUAUCUAGUGCAAUUUGUGGAUUAGGUUUCUCAGUUUAGAUCCUCUAGGGAUUCCAUUCCAAGUUGUAAAAUAUUCUGCUGUGGGUUCAGCGGUUCAAAGGUGGUCUUUGAGCUUGUCCUUCCAUGUCAAUAGAGCUGACUGCAUAGCAGGGUUCUCAAAGUACAACAUUGUGCCGUAAGAGUUCUCAAAGCACAGCAGUUCAGUGUUGCUUUACCUCGUCUUACUUUUUGUUAAGGAUUCCUCUCGAGGACAUCAAGAAUCAGCAGGAUAUCUGCACCUGAAGCUGCUUGAUUAUGUUGGAACUCAAUAAUGUAUAAUCUAAUAGUGGUUGUAUCGAGAAAACAUGCCCAUUUGGAUUUCUGGCCUCCCAUCUUUUGGUGCAUUCUUUAUCCUUCUUCGAAGCAAACUUCAAACAGGCUCGACACAAGAGCUUAUGGAUGCAUUUUGAUGCAAGAGUGGAGUGCCAUUAGUUCAUAAGCAUGACACUGUGAAAAUAUGCUUUGUGACCUUUUUCUCUACGAGGGCUAACUAAAUUUUCCUCCCGAGAUUGAUUAUUUGUGUGAUUGGGGCUGGUCCUGUUUGCCAAAUACAAAACUAUUUGCACCAAAGGAGGUCCAAGAAAAAAUGUCAUGGAGCUGCUGUUGAUCUCUGUUCUGAGUAGCUUGGUAGAUUAGCUUUUCGGACACAUCUUGGUGCUGCCAUUUCCAGGUGUUUUUCUUGGCUUUCUUACAUGUCCAAGUGUUGAAUUGACUGAUAAUAUGCAUCGCCAGUUGCAGGAUGAACCAUGCAUGUCACUUGAUUACUCUGUGCAAAAGAGCCUCGGCUGUUGGAAUGGAAUGGGUUCCAGUAAGGACUAGUACUUGAAUGGAUGGUCGAACAAAGGUAAAGAUCUGCUGGUGCAUGUGCUUCUCAUUUUUGAUGUUGAACUGUUGCAAGAGACAGAGUGGAAAGAUGCAUGCACACAACUAUGUUGCAAUAGGGAGAUGUAGCUGAUGGUAAGCAGCAGCAGUUGACAUUCGAGUAGAAUGUCAAGCAAAGCAAUUUAUACGUAGACCGACACAGGUCUCAUGGCAAUCAUUGGCACGUUAGAUCAAACUCAGCAUUGAUGUGUUCUUGCCACCAAAACCCGGUCCUGUUGUUGAUGCCACUCAUCAUGUUUGUUGAUGCCUCUCUCGACUGUUGAUGGAAAAAUUUGUGGGAUCCAACACAAAUCUGAUGUAUACUUUUUCUUUUAUUUAUACCCUGUUUGCAUCCAUGGUUCUCUGCAAGAAACUUUAGCCGGUCUACUGCUUACUGUUUGUUCGAUCGAGUUCAUUUUAGACUGCCCCUAAAACAUUGUUCUGAUAUAUUUACUUUUUUAUUUGUAUCAUAUUUAAAUCGACAGUUCAGUGUAGAAAACUUUGGCCAGCCUAC